UACGUAGGGAGCAAGCGUUUGUCCGGAAUCAUUGGGCGUAAAGCGCGCGUAGGUGGCCCCAUAGGUCCGCUGUGAAAGUCAAAGGCUCAACCUUUGAAAGCCGGUGGAUACUGUGGGACUAGAGUACGGAAGAGGCGAGUGGAAUUCCUGGUGUAGCGGUGGAAUGCGCAGAUAUCAGGAGGAACACCAAUAGCGAAGGCAGCUCGCUGGGACGUUACUGACACUGAGGCGCGAAAGCGUGGGGAGCGAACAGG
rnacentral:rRNA from 1 species